UUUGAGCUCUGAAAAAUCUUACAUAAUCUUAAAAUAAAAUCAAUUAUAAACAUAUUUUUAGAUCAUAUCUAAACUUGUUAUAAUUUGAGAUUUUAUUUUUUUAUUAUUAAAAUAAUUUUAAUUAUAUAGAUUAGAUAUUUUAUUUUUUACAUAACUUUGUAUCACAUACAACAGAUCUAGGGUUUCAAGAUCUAGGGUUUUAUGAAAAAAUAUGUUCUUCCUUUUGCAUUCUUCUUCAUAGGAUUUAAUCACAUGACACCCCUACACGUCAUAACAGCAUCCCAUCGAAGGAAAGAGAGGACCUUUAAUUCCUUCUUGCUCCA
rnacentral:lncRNA from 1 species